rfam:Myotis brandtii contig295117, whole genome shotgun sequence.
GGCCUACCUCUAUGGGGCGAUCGAUCGUGGAGCCCCGUGAUUGAUCACCUCACAGAGGGAGGCC